rnacentral:tRNA from 1 species
GGGAAGAAGCUCAAGGGUAGAGCACUUGCCUAGCACACAUGAAACCCUGGGUUCAAUCCCCAGUGCCA